UUCUAGCCCUGACAGAAGCGAGCAUUCCGAUCCUUUACCGAUAAAUCGGCACUGAAUUAGCAUCGGAAUAAAGCGGAUGGCAGGACUAUCC
rnacentral:sRNA from 1 species